AUUGGAGCCUGGGAAGGGAAGAACUUCGACGUGGGACAAAGAAAAGAGGGUAGAGGAGGGAGGUCUAUGUGGGACAAAAAGAAUCAUCGAGUUUAAAAACUACAAUGUAGUAAAAGAAUGAACUGAAGACAGGAAGACAAAUCACAGUAAAGAUCAUCGGGUUCAGGAGAAAGACUGAACAGGACAUCCAGACGCUAAAGGAGGACAGAGGAUAAAUGAAAAACCAUAAUGGGUUCAAACGUGGAAAAAGGAAAACAGUUUAACGAGGGACAGACAGAUGAGUGUAGAGGAGGGAGGACAGUGCAUAGAUGAAAAACCAUAAUGGGUUCAAGCCUGGGAAGGGAAGAAAUUCGACGUGGGACCGAGAAAAGAGGGUAGAGGAGGGAGGUCUACGUGGGACAAAAAGAAUCUACAAUGUAGUACAAGAAUGAAAUGAAGACAGGAAGACAUAUCACAGUAAAGAUCAUCGGGUUCAGGAGAAAGACUGAACAAGACAUCCAGACACUAAAGAAAGAAAGAGCAUAAAUGAAAAACCAUAAUGGGUUCAAACGUGGAAAAGGAAAACAGUUUAAUGAGGGACAGAGAGAUGAGUGUAGAGGAGGGAGGACAGUGCAUAGAUGAAAAACCAUAAUGAGUUGGAGCCUGGGAAGGGAAGAACUUCGACGUGGGACAGAGAUAAGAGGGUAGAGGAGGCAGGUCUACGCGGGACAAAAAGAAUCAUGGAGUUUGGAAACCACAAUGCAGUACAAGAAUGAAAUGAAGACAAGAAGACGUGUCGCAGUAAAGAUCAUCAGUUUCAGGAGGAAAGAGUGAACAGGACAUCCAGACAUUUGAGGAGAACAAAGCAUAAAGGAAAAGCCAUAAGGGGUUCAAGCCUGUGAAGGGAAGAACUUCAACGUGGGACAGAGAAAAGAGGGUAGAGGAGGGAGGUCUACGCGGGACAAAAUGAAACAUGGAGUUUGGAAACCACAAUGCAGUAGAAGAAUGAAAUGAAGACAAGAAGACGUGUCGCAGUAAAAAUCUUCAAGUUCAGGAGGAAAGACUGAACAGGAUAUUCAGACAUUUGAGGAGGACAGAGCAUACAUGAAAAGCCAUAAUGGCUUCAAGCCUAGGAAGGGAAGAACUUCGACGUGGGACAGAGAAAA